UUUGCGCAGUGGCAGUAUCGUAGCCAAUGAGGUUUAACCGAGGCGCGAUUAUUGCUAAUUGAAAACUUUUCCCAAUACCCCGCCAUGACGACUUGAAAUAUAGUCGGCAUUGGCAAUUUUUGACAGUCUCUACGGAGACUGGAUUUUUGAGUUCGAAAAGAAAAAGAGAAGGGGUUUCAGGAGUUUCCAGUGUUUUGGAGUCUCAAGGAAUGUAACUUCAGCUUUUGAAAAGCUAAGGGAAGGGCGGAAGGAAGCUGGACUAACUGACAAGUAAGGAGAGCUCUUACCCAGGGUGUUUGCUUAUCAUUCCUCAUCUCUACUCUCCACUCUCUGCAAUGGGCAGACUUUCUCAUAUCCUCUCUGCCCCCUGAAUCCUACUAGAUAAUUGCAGUUUAUUCUCCCAUGUCCUUCUUCAAUCACUCCUAAACGUCCUCGUCUCUGUCUCACCACUGGACCCUGAUGGCUGCGGAGGAGAAAGUAAGGCUGGCGACUUUGCACAGCCGUCACUCACACUCGCAUGUGGUAUCACCUGCCUGAUGUCAUGGUACUCUUCGAGAUGGGACGAACAACUCCAAAACGUCCUCCAUCUGUCCUAACUACUGCUCACUUACUUCCUGCCCAGCAGCCAACUCAACGCUCAACUCUCGGCACGAGUUAAGUAAGCCUUCUAAACUCAAGCGGCGCGGGCAGGUCUAUAGCGUCACCCUCAUUUGCAUAGGAAUCCCCAGAAUCCUCGGCGCCUGUUUGCCUGGUUUUCCCUGAAAUUCUAUUUUCAUGGACGUUUGUCCAUCUGCAAGUGACCAGAAAGUCCUUGAACCUGUAGGGUUAAAGUUCGGCUGGACCCAAAAAAAGAGCCGGCAGGAGCCAUUCAAUAUCAGUCCGCUUCUUACCCUCGUUGUGAAGAUAGUCUCCAGCCAUGGGGGACUGGAGCCCAGGCCGGAUCUCGUUAGCUUUGCGCAGUGGCAGUAUCGUAGCCAAUGAGGUUUAUCCGAGGCGCGAUUAUUGCUAAUUGAAAACUUUUCCCAAUACCCCGCCAUGACGACUUGAAAUAUAGUCGGCAUUGGCAAUUUUUGACAGUCUCUACGGAGACUGAGUUAUUUUCGUUUUUAAAGGAAAUGUGUUUGGAUACUUGCUUGUUGUAGUGCCGCUCUAGUUUUUUAACUGCACUUCAUUUUAGCGUUGGAGUAGUUACAUGAUAGCGGAAAAACAAGGUAAGAAAAGCAGUUACACAGCUUUUGUGAAGUGCAAGAGCUCAUCGUGUGUGGCGUUUUUUUUAUUUUAGGUAGGCUGUUAGCGCCACCUUCUGGCAGCCAUAAUUAUGUGUCUGUGUGAGGAGCUGGAGUUGAGGGCUUUGGGGCUUUGUGGAAGGAGGAGGUACCUGAAUUGAGGUCGGAAAGUUUUAGCCUCGAAGGCUGGUUACCUGGGUAACCUUGCAUGAGUUCCGGCUCUGGGCCUUUGUUUCCUCAACUGUAAAAAAGUAGCUGGAAUCAAUGACAUCGGAGAUAUCUGAGUCCUAGGUGAACCAUGUGUGUCCCAGCCUAAAAGUUUCCAAAUGCAGGCUGGAGGCAAACCUCAGAAUCCACUCCAACCAAUUAGCUGCUUUCUGGAGAGCAUUCUGUCCAAUCCCUUCAAUUUCACAGAGAAGGAAAUUGACAAAGCACAAGGGAUUUUGGAAUCAUUCAUUUAAUGCCAACCUGGAGGAUUCCCAGAGGAUUCCCAGAGUCCCUGGCCCUCAUCCCUCUCCGUGGCACCCUCCUAUCUGUUUCUUAAAGGAAUAACAAGACUUACAGAAUUAAGUACAGUUUAUGAGUGACUGGGGUGGGGGAGGGAGGUCCCGACAGGUAAACCCCUCCUUCCUCCAUUAACAAGGAGUGAGAGUUCUUGAAUGAAUCAGUCCGCAUUUAUUUAGCAUCUAUUAAGUUUCAGUCACAAAGACAUAAAUAAACUAAUUUUUGACCUCGAGAAUUCUAUCUCAUCUGGAGAAGCACUAUAUUCUUGUAUAUGUGAGAUACCUACCAAGAAGAUGGAAGAGAGGAAGACUAGUUCUGGGGAGACAGGAAAGGCUUCCGGCAAAAAAGAGAUGAAGGAGAAUUCGUAAGAUCACAGAUGGAGAGCUGAAAGGGACCUCAGAAGGCAACCAGUCCAAUCUCCUGAUUUUACAGAUGAAGAAACUGAGGCCCAG